UGGGGAAUAUUGGACAAUGGGGGCAACCCUGAUCCAGCAAUGCCGCGUGUGUGAAGAAGGUCUUCGGAUUGUAAAGCACUUUCGACGGGGACGAUGAUGACGGUACCCGUAGAAGAAGCCCCGGCUAACUUCGUGCCAGCAGCCGCGGUAAUACGAAGGGGGCUAGCGUUGCUCGGAAUGACUGGGCGUAAAGGGCGUGUAGGCGGUUUACACAGUCAGAUGUGAAAUCCCCGGGCUUAACCUGGGAGCUGCAUUUGAUACGUGUAGACUAGAGUGUGAGAGAGGGUUGUGGAAUUCCCAGUGUAGAGGUGAAAUUCGUAGAUAUUGGGAAGAACACCGGUGGCGAAGGCGGCAACCUGGCUCAUGACUGACGCUGAGACGCGAAAGCGUGGGGAGCAAACAGGAUUAGAUACCCUGG
rnacentral:rRNA from 1 species